rnacentral:rRNA from 1 species
CCGAACCCACACCUGUUGAAAAAGGUCGGGAUGAGCUGUGGCUAGGGGUGAAAGGCCAAUCAAACUCGGAGAUAGCUGGUUCUCUGCGAAAUCUAUUUAGGUAGAGCGUCAUCCGAAUACCCUCGGGGGUAGAGCACUGGAUGGGCUAGGGGGUCCCAACGACUUACCAAACCUAACCAAACUCCGAAUACCGAGGAGUACUAGAUGGCAGACACACUGCGGGUGCUAAGGUCCGUAGUGGAGAGGGAAACAGCCCUGACCACCAGCUAAGGUCCCUAAGUUAUCACUAAGUGGGAAACGAUGUGGGAGUGCUUAGACAACCAGGAGGUUGGCUUAGAAGCAGCCACCCUUUAAAGAAAGCGUAAUAGCUCACUAGUCGAGUCGGCCUGCGCGGAAGAUGUAACGGGGCUAAAUCUAGUACCGAAGCUGCGGAUCUCGUAAGAGAUGGUAGAGGAGCGUUCUGUAAGUCUGUGAAGGUGAAUCGUAAGGUUUGCUGGAGAUAUCAGAAGUGCGAAUGCUGACAUGAGUAACGAUAAAGGGGGUGAAAAACCCCCUCGCUGAAAGACCAAGGGUUCCUGUCCAACGUUAAUCGGGGCAGGGUGAGUCGACCCCUAAGGCGAGGGCGAAAGCCGUAGUCGAUGGGAAACAGGUUAAUAUUCCUGUACCACCACGUGAUGCGAUGGAGGGACGGAGUAGGCUAGGUGAUCAGGGCGUUGGUUGUCCCUGUUCAAGGAUGUAGGCAGAGAGCUUAGGAAAAUCCGGGCUCUUAAUGCUGAGAUCUGAUGUCGAGUUUCUACGGAAACGAAGUCAUUGAUGCCAUGCUUCCAAGAAAAGCUUCUAAGCUUCAGUCACGUGGGAUCGUACCCGAAACCGACACAGGUGGUCAGGUAGAGAAUACUAAAGCGGUCGGGUGAACUGUGGUUAAGGAAUUCGGCAAAUUGCCCCCGUAACUUCGGGAGAAGUGG